GGGGUUGUAACUCAGUGGUAGAGUGCUUGCCUAGCACGUAGGAGGCCCUGCAUUGGCUCCUCAGCACCACA
rnacentral:tRNA from 1 species